rnacentral:rRNA from 1 species
GACGAAGGGGGCUAGCGUUGUUCGGAAUUACUGGGCGUAAAGCGAGUGUAGGUGGUUGUCGUAGUCAGGCGUGAAAGCCUUGAGCUCAACUCAAGAAAUGCGCUUGAUACUGGGCAGCUAGAGGACCGGAGAGGAUAGUGGAAUUCCCAGUUUAGUGGUGAAAUGCGCAGAUAUCAGGAGGAACACCGGUGGCGAAGGCGGGUCUCUGGGCCGAUAUUGACGCUGAGGAGCGAAAGCGUGGGGAGCGAACAGG